ACGGAAGGCAGCAGUGGGGAAUAUUGCACAAUGGGGGAAACCCUGAUGCAGCGACGCCGCGCGAGUGAAGAAGUAUUUCGGUAUGUAAAGCUCUAUCAGCAGGAAAGAAAAUGACGGUACCUGACUAAGAAGCCCCGGCUAACUACGUGCCAGCAGCCGCGGUAAUACGUAGGGGGCAAGCGUUAUCCGGAUUUACUGGGUGUAAAGGGAGCGUAGACGGCUUUGCAAGUCUGAAGUGAAAGCCCGGGGCUCAACCCCGGAACUGCUUUGGAAACUGUAGAGCUAGAGUGCAGGAGAGGUAAGUGGAAUUCCUAGUGUAGCGGUGAAAUGCGUAGAUAUUAGGAGGAACACCAGUGGCGAAGGCGGCUUACUGGACUGUAACUGACGUUGAGGCUCGAAGGCGUGGGGAGCAAACAGGAUUAGAUACCCUGGUA
rnacentral:rRNA from 1 species